GAUGAACGCUGGCGGCGUGCCUAAUACAUGCAAGUCGAGCGAACGGACGAGUAGCUUGCUUCUCUGAUGUUAGCGGCGGACGGGUGAGUAACACGUGGAUAACCUACCUAUAAGACUGGGAUAACUUCGGGAAACCGUAGCUAAUACCGGAUAAUAUUUUGAACCGCAUGGUUCAAAAGUGAAAGACGGUCUUGCUGUCACUUAUAGAUGGAUCCGCGCUGCAUUAGCUAGUUGGUAAGGUAACGGCUUACCAAGGCAACGAUGCAUAGCCGACCUGAGAGGGUGAUCGGCCACACUGGAACUGAAACACGGUCCAGACUCCUACGGGAGGCAGCAGUAGGGAAUCUUCCGCAAUGGGCGAAAGCCUGACGGAGCAACGCCGCGUGAGUGAUGAAGGUCUUCGGAUCGUAAAACUCUGUUAUUAGGGAAGAACAUAUGUGUAAGUAACUGUGCACAUCUUGACGGUACCUAAUCAGAAAGCCACGGCUAACUACGUG
rnacentral:rRNA from 1 species